rnacentral:ncRNA from 1 species
AUAGGCUAUAAGGAGCUAGGUAUUUUUCGAAUGACUGGCCAUGCAUGGUCAAAAGGUUUAGUUAACUUACCCAAAACUAUGUGUUCCAUCAACAACUUUCCAUUUUUCAUGCUUUUGUAGGUACACGUGGGUUGUAGUGGGUCAUCUAGAGUGUACACAUGGGUUGUAGUGGAGCAGGGUGAGUGGGCCUUUAAAAAGGGUGGUUUUAAGAAGAGUUGUUCAGUACUAUAUUGGAUAUGGUCUGAUGUUAGGUAAGUAUGUCUGGUGCAAAUUAGGGUUAUAAAAACAAUGUGAUUUAUGCCCAGUGCUCUGAAUGUCAAAGUGAAGAAAUUCAACCAAGCACGGGUAAAUGACGGGAGUAACUAUGACUCUCUUAAGGUAUCCAAAUACCUCUUCAUCUAAUUAGUGAUGUGCAUGAAUGGAUUAACGAGAUUCCCACUAUCCCUAUCUACUAUCUAGUGAAACCACAACCAAGGGAACGGGCUUGGCAGAAUCAUCGGGGAAAGAAGACCCUAUUGAGAUUGACUCUAGUCCGACUUUGUGAAAUGACUUGAGAGGUGUAGAAUAAGUGGGAGCCGUUUUUGGUGCAAUUGAAAUACCACUACUUUUAACGUUAUUUUACUUAUUCCGUGGGGCAGAGAUGGGGCAUCGCCCCUAUUUUUGGCCUUAAGACACGUUUUGACGGGUCAAUCCAGGUGGAAGACAUUGUCAGGUGGGGAGUUUGGCUUGGGAGACACAUCUGUUAAAAGAUAAUGCAGGUGUCCUAAGAUGAUCUCAACGAGAACAUAAAUCUCGUGUGGAACAAAAGGGUAAAAGCUCAUUUGAGUUUUAUUUUUAGUACGAAUACAAACCGUGAAAGCGUGGCCUAUCAAUCCUUUAGACUUUCAGAAUUUGAAGCUAGAGGUGUCAUUAAAUUUAAUACAGGGAUAACUGGCUUGUGGUAGCCAAGCGUUCAUAUCGACGUUGAUUUUUGAUCCUUCGAUGCCGACUUUUCCUAUCAUUGUGAAGCAUAAUUCACCAAGUGUUGGAUUGUUCACCCACCAAUAGGGAAUGUGAGUUGGGUUUAGACCAUCAUGAGACAGGUUAGUUUUACCCUACUGAUGAACCAUGCCACAAUAGUAAUUCAACUUAGUAUAAGAGGAACCGUUGAUUCACACAAUUGGUCAUCGUGCUUGGUUGAAACGCCAGUGGCGCUAAGCUACCGUGUGUCGGAUUAUGACUGAACGCAUCUAAGUCAGAAUCCACACUAGAGGCGGUGCUUGUCACUCCUCGACUGUAUAUUAACCCAUAGUAGAGGUGUUGCUUCGACAACCCUAGGGGCCCGUGUCACUUAUGAACCUCGUCUGGGAAGCGUCUUGGUUGGGGCAGCUUUGAAGUUCAAUUUAAAACUGUCGUUGAGAAGAAUCCUUUGUAGAUGACUUAAAUAUGUGACGAGGUAUUGUAAGUGGUAGAGUGGCCUUGCUGCCAUGAUCCACUGAGAUUCAACCCUUUGUCACCUUGAUUA